AGGGUUAUUGCCAAGUGGUAAGGCAACAGGUUCUGACCCUGUCACUCGUAGGUUCGAAUCCUACUAACCCUGCCA
rnacentral:tRNA from 1 species